AAAACGCAGGCACGUUCUGCCUCCCGGCGCUCCGCCCCGCCCCACCAACCUCCUGCGACGCCCCACGCGCCGCCGGCCGCCUCCUGCCUCUCACCUCCUUCCCCGCCCCGCCCAGCACCGCCUCACCGCGUGCCGCCGGCUGGCUCCUGCCUCGCCAGGGUAAGAAAAAGGGGUCGCCUGCAUCCUCCCACCCGCACGCCUGCGCUCGCCUCGCCCCCACGGCUUCACUCUCUUGGCACCGGCGGCAGGCCAUCCUGCCACCCGACUCGCCUAGCCUGCACGGAGGCGGCCGAUGGAAGUUCGAUCUCCCCUUCCCCCUCACCCGCCAUCUACGACCACCAUCCUCACCGCCCCCUCCCUUACCUCAGCCCGAUCUAGACGCCUAACCCCUCUCAACCCUCUCUGAGCACAACCUGUUCCGUCGGCGGCAACAGCGCCUCCUUCUGGCCGGAUCAAGGCGUGGAGACCCAUGCUCCCCUCAUCUGGUUGAACACAGCUGAGCACAUAUGUUCCCUGCCUUUCUGCUACAUGUACGAACUGAAGCUUAUUGUGUACACUUUGGUUGCUUUUUUUAGAGAGAAAACACUCUGGUUGCAGGUAGAAUCAGAAAUCAAAGUCCACAGAGAUGCAUAUGUCAUGGGCGAAUGCAUGAUGUAAUAGAAUCCAGAGGACCUUCAGACUUGGUUCUCUGCUGGGGUGAAGGGUGUGAAGUGUUGUGCCGAGAUGCAGAUUCAGAGCCUUUUUUCUUUCCAAUUUGUACAUGCUCGGCAAUCCAGAACCGGUUUUACUUUUCCUUAAAGAAACUGAUUUAACUUUUUGCUGUCUCCUAGAGGGCGCUGAAUCAGGCUGAUGUGCGCUUGGCCAAACGAAGGAGCAGACAAUCACUCAGAAGAAAUUCAUCCGAGCUCUCAAGUUGAAGUCAAACUGGCCAGCUACGUUUCAAAGGUAACAUCUACUCCCUUUGUCUCAAAGUAUAAGAUUUUUUGGUCGAGAUAUAUACUGAGAUAGAGGGAGUAUAUAAUACAGUAAGUAAGAUGAUAGUUUGAUGUGUAGACAGGAAGAAAUCACACACAAUAGAUGCAGCUGGUAUUUUGGAAAUAAAGGCAGAGGUUUAAAUUCAGAACUGGGACUAAUUGGUUUGUAAUUUAUACAUGUCCCCAACAUGAAUACUGCAGUCUUUGUCAUAAGAUUUCCAAUGGUACUGAUUUUUUUUGAAUUAUAAUCUUUUAAAAGUAGAGCAAGAACAGGAUGUUGUCUAUCAGUUUUAACCAAGUGCAGAAUUUCGUUUGGCAUCAAUAUAUCUAUUUCGAUAUAGAAAGAAUUUGAGGAUUAUCAUGUUUCCAUUAUGAGACGUGGCUCAGCAUAAUUGCAUCCCCAAUGCCAAGCCCACCGAGUUCACUGAAAGCUAUAAGCAGGAGAUCACAAUGAUGCAUAUCGCCGUCACAUUCAGACCCAAAUAUCUAGGAGCUGCGGUCUGGACAUCAUUAACAGGACAGGGCAAAGUCAAGCCUCAGGGGUGGUGGCGACAGCAAUGUGGCCUGCAGGCUAUGGGUCUAGCAGCACGUGGCAGGCAGUAGUGCGCGUGCCCAGUGCUCGCGGCGGCUGGGAUAAUGAAGUACUGGAUCUGCGGUGAACGGCCAUCCGCAAGAUCUACAUCAUCAUCUUUUGAUAAACAAGAUUUAUGAGAUCCCUGCAUUUUUGUUGUGGCACAGAACCACGGAGCGUUUCUUCGGUGUAUCACCCCUCCACAUCUUAAUAAUAACUCAUGUGAAGGUGAUAACACAGAGUCAUCCUCAAGGCGACAAACCUUACAUUUUCUGUAUUGUCAUUACAUAAAACUAAAACCUUCACGAGCGCACUGAUGCUCUUCCUAACGCCCAGCCGCAGCAAGUGUACAUGAAACUUCGCACUUUACAGUUUACAUACAUACUUGCAGUCGUUGGGUUAAAACCCAUCUAUACAUUGUUUUAUGUGUUACAUAUGUUGUCUCCCUACCUUAUAUGGAUAUAAAUACCAAGGCAAAACUAACCUUAUAUGAAUAAAUACUAGG